rnacentral:rRNA from 1 species
CCUACGGGAGGCAGCAGUAGGGAAUCUUUCACAAUGGGCGAAAGCCUGAUGGAGCAACGCCGCGUGCAGGAUGAAGGCCUUCGGGUUGUAAACUGCUUUUAUAAGCGAGAAAUAUGAUGGUAACUUAUGAAUAAGGAGCGGCUAACUACGUGCCAGCAGCCGCGGUCAUACGUAGGAUCCGAGCCUUAUCCAGAGUGACUGGGUGUAAAGAGUUGCGUAGGUGGCAUAAUAAGUAGCUAGUGAAAUCUGGUGGCUCAACCAUUCAGACUAUUAGCUAAACUGUUAAGCUCGAGACCGGUAGGGGUAACUGGAAUUUCUGGUGUAGGAGUGAAAUCCGUAGAUAUUAGAAGGAACACCAAUAGCGUAGGCAGGUUGCUGGGACGGUUCUGACACUAAGGCACGAAGGCGUAGGGAGCAAACGGGAUUAGAUACCCGAGUAGUC